AUGCAUUUCAUAUCUGGAAUCAUCUUUGUCAAUCCGUUAAAGGUUGACUAUCUAGCACACUUACCAUUUCAGACUACUCUAUGUAGAUGAUGGGAGGUCCAGCUAGGUAAACAAAUCAACUGUUAUAUAUAUUCAUGCUUAUAUAGGUAUAUUGUUUAUAUGAAUGAAUAAUAAGGAAUGAGCAAAUGGUAUUGGGUACCGAUACCGAAUUUCUCGAACUGGUUUGAUUUUCGGUACCCGUUCGGUACCGUAUUUAGUGUCUUUGGUACCGGUAUUUACCCUUUUUAUCUUCAAAAAGGGACGGGUUUGGUAACAUGCCAAACAUCAAGUAUCAUUUUUGUUGCAAAAAUUAUAUUAUUU
rnacentral:lncRNA from 1 species